rnacentral:rRNA from 1 species
CGGAGAGUUUGAUCCUGGCUCAGAGCGAACGCUGGCGGCAGGCUUAACACAUGCAAGUCGAGCGGGCAUCCUUGUGGUGUCAGCGGCAGACGGGUGAGUAACGCGUGGGAACGUGCCCUUCGGUUCGGAAUAACUCAGGGAAACUUGAGCUAAUACCGGAUACGCCCUUAUGGGGAAAGGUUUAUCUGCCGAAGGAUCGGCCCGCGUCUGAUUAGCUAGUUGGUGAGGUUACGGCUCACCAAGGCGACGAUCAGUAGCUGGUCUGAGAGGAUGAUCAGCCACACUGGGACUGAGACACGGCCCAGACUCCUACGGGAGGCAGCAGUGGGGAAUAUUGGACAAUGGGGGCAACCCUGAUCCAGCCAUGCCGCGUGAGUGAUGACGGCCUUAGGGUUGUAAAGUUCUUUUCUCCGGGACGAUAAUGACGGUACCGGAGGAAUAAGCCCCGGCUAACUUCGUGCCAGCAGCCGCGGUAAUACGAAGGGGGCUAGCGUUGCUCGGAAUCACUGGGCGUAAAGGGCGCGUAGGCGGCUGAUUUAGUCGAGGGUGAAAGCCCGUGGCUCAACCACGGAAUGGCCUUCGAUACUGAUUGGCUUGAGAUCGGAAGAGGACAGCGGAACUGGCGAGUGUAGAGGUGAAAUUCGUAGAUAUUCGCAAGAACACCAGUGGCGAAGGCGGCUGUCUGGUCCGGUUCUGCGCU